rnacentral:rRNA from 1 species
AAUGCGCAGAUAUCAGGAGGAAACACCGUUGUCGAAGGCGGGUCUCUGGGCAGUAACCUGACGCUGAGGAAGCGAAAGCCUGGGGAGCGAACAGGAUUAGAUAACCUGGUAGUCCACGCCUGUAAACGGUGGGUACUAGUCUUCGGGUUUCCUUCCUUGGGAUCCGUGCCGUAGCUAACGCAUUAAGUACCCCGCCUGGGGAGUACGGCCGCAAGGCUAAAACUCAAAGAAAUUGACCGGGGGCCCGCACAAGCGGCGGAGCAUGUGGAUUAAUUCGAUGCAACGCGAAGAACCUUACCUGGGUUUGACAUGCACAGGACGUGCCUAGAGAUAGGUAUUCCCUUGUGGCCUGUGUGCAGGUGGUGCAUGGCUGUCGUCAGCUCGUGUCGUGAGAUGUUGGGUUAAGUCCCGCAACGAGCGCAACCCUUGUCUCAUGUUGCCAGCACGUUAUGGUGGGGACUCAUGAGAGACUGCCGGGGUCAACUCGGAGGAAGGUGGGGAUGACGUCAAGUCAUCAUGCCCCUUAUGUCCAGGGCUUCACACAUGCUACAAUGGCCGGUACAAAGGGCUGCGAUGCCGUGAGGUGGAGCGAAUCCUUUCAAAGCCGGUCUCAGUUCGGAUCGGGGUCUGCACUCGACCCCGUGAAGUCGGAGUCGCUAGUAAUCGCAGAUCAGCAACGCUGCGGUGAAUACGUUCCCGGGCUUGUACACAC